CCCAGGGGUCUGAGAAAUCACAGUUAGAGAACAUACAGUCAGGAUCCUCACCAAACCGCCCGUAUCACAGCACUGCCUAACCACAGUGAAGAAUACUUUAUGAGCUGGUGUGGGCAAGGCUUUGAGAAUAAAUGUUAGAUGUCUACUGGGUGUUAUGUUCUGGGUACACAGAGAUGAAAGGACAGUUGCUGUCUACUUGAACCUUACACUCCAGCUGCCAACUUGAAAUUUAAACAAGGUCCACAAAUCCAUACAAGGAAUGAAAUCAGCAACCUGUGUUCUCUGGUCUGAGCACAACAGCUGCCAGGAAGAAAAUCUGAUAUGCACCACGGACAAGGACUUAAUAAUUAACUCCCUGAGUCUCUCCAUGAACGUUUGAACUCAGUGCGUGAACGUUUAUACCACUGGGCGAUGCAUGAGAAGAACAGGCGAAGCGCUGUGCUGAAAGUGGUAAUAAAAUCCAUGGUCUUAAGUUUGAA